rnacentral:rRNA from 1 species
GACGUAGGGCGCGAGCGUUGUCCGGAUUUAUUGGGCGUAAAGAGCUCGUAGGCGGCUCGUUGCGUCGGCUGUGAAAACCCGCAGCUCAACUGUGGGCUUGCAGCUGAUACGAGCGGGCUGGAGUUCGGUAGGGGAGACUGGAAUUCCUGGUGUAGCGGUGGAAUGCGCAGAUAUCAGGAGGAACACCGGUGGCGAAGGCGGGUCUCUGGGCAGUAACUGACGCUGAGGCACGAAGGCCAGGGGAGCAAACGGG